AGAUUGAACGCUGGCGGCAGGCCUAACACAUGCAAGUCGAGCGGUAGAGAGGUGCUUGCAUCUCUUGAGAGCGGCGGACGGGUGAGUAAUGCCUAGGAAUCUGCCUAGUGGUGGGGGAUAACGUUCGGAAACGGACGCUAAUACCGCAUACGUCCUACGGGAGAAAGCGGGGGACCUUCGGGCCUCGCGCCAUUAGAUGAGCCUAGGUCGGAUUAGCUAGUUGGUGAGGUAAUGGCUCACCAAGGCGACGAUCCGUAACUGGUCUGAGAGGAUGAUCAGUCACACUGGAACUGAGACACGGUCCAGACUCCUA
rnacentral:rRNA from 1 species